UACAGAGGUCCCAAGCGUUGUUCGGAUUCAUUGGGCGUAAAGGGUGCGUAGGUGGCGUCGUAAGUCGGGUGUGAAAUCCCGGGGCUUAACUCCGAAACUGCAUUCGAUACUGCGGUGCUUGGGGACUGGAGAGGAGACUGGAAUUUACGGUGUAGCAGUGAAAUGCGUAGAGAUCGUAAGGAAGACCAGUGGCGAAGGCGGGUCUCUGGACAGUUCCUGACACUGAGGCACGAAGGCCAGGGGAGCAAACGGG
rnacentral:rRNA from 1 species